CACUGAACCUGAGUGCCAUAAAGGAGAACUGCGUUUACCGCUGCAGCGCCACAAGCUCUGCCAAUGUCACAGCGCACAGCCCAGCCUAUCCCAUCUACGUCCUGUCCAUACCUUCUACAGGGAGCUUUUCCCUGGCUGCACUGGUGGUCAGUCUUCUGUCCUGGGUCCUUCUGAUUCUGCUGGUGGCCUACGUGUGGGCACACUGGCGUAAGACCAAGAUGGGUCCUGGCGGUGUGACCGGUGAUUCAAGAGCCCGUGCUUCCAGGGGAACCAGCCAUCCGUCCGCAGCAGACGGGGAAGUUUACAUGAACUCGGAUGACCUGGAGAGGACAUACACCAAUUUGAACCCCGCCUUCAUGACUCAGGACAACAACUACGACACGCUCUCCUGAGGAAAGCUGUAAACUGUAACGGAUGUGAAAGAGGAAGCCACGUGUUUACACCAGCUUCAUCUC
ensembl:lncRNA